rnacentral:rRNA from 1 species
CGGAGGGACUAGCGUUGUUCGGAAUUACUGGGCGUAAAGCGCACGUAGGCGGAUUUGUAAGUCAGGGGUGAAAUCCCGAGGCUCAACCUCGGAACUGCCUUUGAUACUGCAAAUCUCGAGUCCGGAAGAGGUGAGUGGAAUUCCUAGUGUAGAGGUGAAAUUCGUAGAUAUUAGGAAGAACACCAGUGGCGAAGGCGGCUCACUGGUCCGGCACUGACGCUGAGGUGCGAAAGCGUGGGGAGCAAACAGGAUU